AGAACUUAGAUUUUUGGCUAUGUUGAGAUGAUACCUAGCCUGUGAAUAAGGUAGUUUUGUUUGAAUUUCUAAAUGCCCGUUUGUCAAAGCUUCUUUUUGUAUCUUUCUGAAUAGGUGGAGCCAAGAAAACCCAGAAAGAUAGGAAACAAAAAAGAAAAAUAAGAGAGAGAGAGAGAAUUUAAUGUUUUGUUGGAGUAACGUGUAGAAGAUGGCAGUCAAGGAAGGCGUCAACAAAAUCGUCUAACAUCAAAUGUAGUGGUUGAAAAGGGUUUUGGGAUUUGUUUGACACGCAAAGGAAAUUAAGGAAGAGAGAGACUUUUGCUUUUAUCAGAACUUUGUCUGCUUGCAUGGCAAUUCAGCCCCACUUGAACUUAUGUAUACGUGCGCAUGUGGAUUA
rnacentral:misc_RNA from 1 species